rnacentral:lncRNA from 1 species
CUCCCCCUGCUCACCAACUCACCCACUCCCACUUCCUGGCCCUGGCAUUCCCUUACACUGAGGCAUAGAACCUUCACAGGACCAAGGGCUUCUCCUCCCAUUGAUGACUGACAAUUCACAGACCAUAUGAAGAUCAAGAAGAAGGAAGACCAAAAUGUGGAUACGUUGAUCCUUCUUAGAAAGGAGAACAAAAUACCCAUGGGAGGAGUUACAGAGACAAAGUGUGGAGCAGAGACUGAAGGAAAGACCAUCCAGAGACUGCCCCACCUGGGGAUCCAUCCAUCCCAUAUACAGUCAUCAAAUCCAGACACUAUUGUGGAUGCCAACAAGGGCUUGCUGACAGAAGCCUUAUAUAGCUGUCUCCUGAGAGGCUCUGCCAGUUCCUGACAAAUACAGAAGUGGAUGCUUUCAGUCAACCAUUCGACUGAGCACAGGGUGCCCAAUAGAGGAACUAAAGGACCCUAGGAGCUGAAGCUGAAAUUUUUAAUAUAAUGCCUCUUAGCCUGGUUUGGAGAAAACGUCACAGAGAGGCACCAUUUGUUGUGGUUUUACAUGAAAAUUUUCUGACCCUGAACCUGGUUUGAUGGAAAUCAUUUGCUGAGGAAACCAUGCCGAUUACCGACCGAGCUCUCAAUGGAAAAAUGCAGUCGGCGUGAACCACGCACGAACACAGCAGAGAAAGAAGAAAACACACACCACGAGGAACCCUAAUAGGACAAUACAUUAUAAGUCACAGUGCUACGGAGAAACCCAGUAGCCACAUGGAAGCAGAGACCAUGCAUAUGCAUCUACUCCGCAGCUCUGUGAAUGUCAGCAGCUCCCACGGACUGGAGAUCCCGUGAGAUCCCGUGAGAUCUCACCCAUAGCCUCAUGGUACAUCCACUUGGUGUGCUGGGAGAGUCAGGAUGAGGACCUGAGAAGAACAGCAGCUUGAACCUGACUUCAUUUAACAGCCCACUGCCCUCUUGCCAAGAACCCAUCACAGACCUUCCCAGAAGAGAGGGAUGAGCCUCACCUAUGAAUAAGUCCUCAGAAACUCAAAUUUGAUUCUAAUGGAUUGUUUUCUCAGAAAGACUGAGCAUGUCCCCCCACAUCUCUGUCAUUUCCCACAGUAGUAACCUCUGCAGAUGCCACAUAGAAAACAAAACAAAACAAAAAAACAUGAGGUUGGUGGGCAGAUAGGCAGGGUAUAAACAAACAGCCUUGUAACCCAGAAGCUGUGUGAUAUACAGUAAACUUCACAACACUGAAAAGAUGUCCUAUCUGUUAAAAUGGGGUAAUAACAACUACCCGAAUGUUUAGGAAUAGAACUUCAAUAAAUGAUACAUUUUAUAGUACAGCAGACCAUCCUGUAAAGGUUUCAUCCUUCACUGUGGUGAUAAAUAUCCCAAACCACAUUGAAAAGCAUUGCAUCUACAUUUAUCUACACUGUAACUGUACUGUAAAUCAUGGGGGAGGGGAGAAUCAUAAAAACACCACCUGUCACCGUGUCAUUAAAGCAAGUUGGAAGUGAUACUUACAGAAACACAGCAAGAGCACCCCCAGUCACACAGUUCAAUCUCUUAGCAAGCGUUUUCUUUCUAGCCCAGUGGUUCUCAGUUUGGAAUUUUUGGCACUGCCUAGAGAUAGUUUUGUUGUUAAAACUGAGAAAAGAGCCGGGCGUGGUGGCACACGCCUUUAAUCCCAGCACUCAGGAGGCAGAGGCAGG